GGGUAACCUGCCCUAUGCUGGAUAAUAACCUCGGGAAACUGAGAAUAAUGAUCCAUAGUUCACUACGCCUGGAACGGUGAGUGGAUGAAAGCUCCGGCGGCAUAGGAUGGGCCUGCGGCGUAUCAGGUUGUAGGGGGUGUAACGUACCCUCUAGCCCUCUACGCGUACGGGUGUUGGGAGACAUAGCCCGGAGAUGGAUUCUGAGACACGAAUCCAGACCCUACGGGGUGCAGCAGGCGCGAAAACUUGGCAAUGCGAGAAAUCGUGACCAGGGAACUCCAAGUGCAUCGGGUAAGACCGGUGCUUUUCUUGACUCUAAAUAGGUCUUGGAAUAAGGGGUGGGUAAGGACGGUGCCAGCCGCCGCGGUAAUACCGGCGCCUCAAGUGGUAGUCGCUUUUAUUGGGCCUAAAACGUCCGUAGCCGGUCUGAUACAUUCGUGGGUAAAUCAACCAGCUCAACUGGUUGAAUUCUGUGAGGACGGUCAGACUUGGGACCGGGAGAGGUGUGGGGUACGCUCAGGGUAGGGGUAAAAUCCUGUCAUCCUGAGCGGACCACCUGUUGCGAAGGCGCCACACUAGAACGGAUCCGACGGUCAGGGACGAAGCCUAGGGGCACGAACCGGAUUAGAUACCCGGGUAGUCCUAGGUGUAAACGCUGUGGACUUGAUGUUGGGGGUGCUCCGAGCACUCUCAGUGUCGAAGCGAAGGUGAUAAGUCCACUGCCUGGGAAGUACGGUCGCAAGGCUGAAACUU
rnacentral:rRNA from 1 species